GUAGGUGGCAAGCGUUGUCCGGAAUUAUUGGGUGUAAAGCGCGCGCAGGCGGUCCUUUAAGUCUGAUGUGAAAGCCCACGGCUCAACCGUGGAGGGUCAUUGGAAACUGGGGGACUUGAGUACAGAAGAGGAAAGCGGAAUUCCAAGUGUAGCGGUGAAAUGCGUAGAGAUUUGGAGGAACACCAGUGGCGAAGGCGGCUUUCUGGUCUGUAACUGACGCUGAGGCGCGAAAGCGUGGGGAGCAAACAGGGAUUAGAUACCCUGGUAGUCCACGCCGUAAACGAUGAGUGCUAAGUGUUAGGGGGUUUCCCGCCCCCUUAGUGCUGCAGCUAACGCAUUAAGCACUCCGCCUAGGGAGUACGGCCCGCAAGGCUG
rnacentral:rRNA from 1 species